rnacentral:lncRNA from 1 species
CUCAUUUUGCAAUAAGGCUACUAUUUCUAUGUGUCCUCAAAAGCCAGGGCAAUUCUGAGAUCAAAGGAACUGAAACAAGCAGGUCCUUGGCAGAAUCUCACAGGAAACGUUCAACAAGAUAAAAGAUGAGAAGGGACGUGUGGAUGGAGCAGACGGGGACGGCAGGGUAGGAUCAGGUCGAUGUGAGCGCUGCCGUUUAGUCACCUGGGGUCAGAAGGAGGGGAAUCCUAUUGCAUCAGGAGACCCCAAGCCUGGCUGGAGCCUCAAGUCUGCAGAAACGAGUGUUUGAAAAUGAAUGGCGCGGUGGCUCUCGUCAACAGGGCUGUGUCGUGGGCUUGGGAGCCACUGUGAGAGCAGAGCUUCCGUAAUCAACGGCAGCAGCAGAAUGCAAUAUUGUGAGGUGUCGGAGAGAGAGGAAGUGUCUCUGCAGGACCUGGGACCGGUGUCGUCAGUCCUUUCUGAACAAAGGUCUUUGGGUAACAGAAGCC